GGAAUCUUCCGCAAUGGACGAAAGUCUGACGGAGCAACGCCGCGUGAGUGAUGAAGGUUUUCGGAUCGUAAAGCUCUGUUGUUAGGGAAGAACAAGUACCGUUCGAAUAGGGCGGUACCUUGACGGUACCUAAUGAGAAAGCCACGGCUAACUACGUGCCAGCAGCCGCGGUAAUACGUAGGUGGCAAGCGUUGUCCGGAAUUAUUGGGCGUAAAGAGUGCGUAGGCGGUCUAUUAAGUCUCAUUUGAAAGCCCAUGGCUUAACCAUGGAGGGUGAUGGGAAACUGAUAGACUUGAGUAAAGGAGAGGAAGGUGGAAUUCCACGUGUAGCGGUGAAAUGCGUAGAGAUGUGGAGGAACACCAGUGGCGAAGGCGGCCUUCUGGCCUUUGUCUGACGCUGAGGCACGAAAGCGUGGGUAGCAAA
rnacentral:rRNA from 1 species